rnacentral:lncRNA from 1 species
UUUGAUAGCAUUUAUACAUGUUUAACCAUCCUCUCUUCAUGGUCAACUGAAUACACUUAACAAUAUUGUUACCCUUUCUUAAUUGGAACAAUUUCAUUAUCAACAUCAGCUUCUCUGAUCAUGCCUGGUCCAUUGUAACCUUAUUGUGACUUGCCCCUGAAUGUAAUACAGCAACAGAAAACAUGAAAUUGAUUAUAAAACAUCAGUGGCAACUGGCAAGGUGAGGGUAUAAAUCCACCAUUGUUCUAUUGAAACUUUAAAAUUAUUUUUACAAGAAACGAAAUGAAUCUUUGUUUGGAACAAAUUCUAUACUUUUUCCAGAAUGAAGAAUGAUGGUCCCAUUUAGACUCUCUUUCUUGUAUAUGAACUAUUCUUGUCAACAAAAGGAAAAUAGCAAGAGAUUGGUUACCAGUGAUAAAUAGUUGUACAGGUUGUAUAUAACCACAUGAAUUGCACCACUCAGAAAUGAUGGCUUUA